rnacentral:rRNA from 1 species
UACAGAGGGUGCGAGCGUUAAUCGGAAUUACUGGGCGUAAAGCGCACGUAGGUGGCGACGUAAGUCGGGUGUGAAAGCCCCGGGCUCAACCUGGGAAUUGCAUUCGAGACUGCAUUGCUGGAGUACGGAAGAGGAGGGCGGAAUUCCCGGUGUAGCGGUGAAAUGCGUAGAUAUCGGGAGGAACAUCAGUGGCGAAGGCGGCCCUCUGGUCCAGUACUGACACUCAAGUGCGAAAGCGUGGGGAGCAAACAGGAUUAGAAACCCUGGUAGU